UACGUAGGGGGCAAGCGCUAUCCGGAUUUACUGGGUGUAAAGGGAGCGUAGACGGCCAUUCAAGCCAGAUGUGAAAGCCCGGGGCUCAACCCCAGGACUGCAUUUGGAACUGUAUGGCUGGAGUGUCGGAGAGGCAGGCGGAAUUCCUAGUGUAGCGGUGAAAUGCGUAGAUAUUAGGAGGAACACCAGUGGCGAAGGCGGCCUGCUGGACGAUGACUGACGUUGAGGCUCGAAAGCGUGGGGAGCAAAUAGG
rnacentral:rRNA from 1 species